rnacentral:rRNA from 1 species
CCAGAGAACUUAGCAGAGAUGCUUUGGUGCCUUCGGGAACUCUGAGACAGGUGCUGCAUGGCUGUCGUCAGCUCGUGUUGUGAAAUGUUGGGUUAAGUCCCGCAACGAGCGCAACCCUUAUCCUUUGUUGCCAGCGGUCCGGCCGGGAACUCAAAGGAGACUGCCAGUGAUAAACUGGAGGAAGGUGGGGAUGACGUCGAGUCAUCAUGGCCCUUACGAGUAGGGCUACACACGUGCUACAAUGGCGCAUACAAAGAGAAGCGACCUCGCGAGAGCAAGCGGACCUCAUAAAGUGCGUCGUAGUCCGGAUUGGAGUCUGCAACUCGACUCCAUGAAGUCGGAAUCGCUAGUAAUCGUAGAUCAGAAUGCUACGGUGAAUACGUUCCCGGGCCUUGUACACACCGCCCGUCACACCAUGGGAGUGGGUUGCAAAAGAAGUAGGUAGCUUAACCUUCGGGAGGGCGCUUACCACUUUGUGAUUCAUGACUGGGGUGAAGUCGUAACAAGGUAGGCGUACGUGU